rnacentral:rRNA from 1 species
UUCGCAAUGCCCGAAAGGGUGACGAAGCGACGCCGCGUGGGUGAAGAAGGCCUUCGGGUUGUAAAACCCUGUCAGGAGUUAUGAAAUGUAAGUGCGCUAAUAUCGUGCUUAUUUGACAAAGGCUCCAAAGGAAGCCACGGCUAACUCUGUGCCAGCAGCCGCGGUAAUACAGAGGUGGCGAGCGUUGUUCGGAAUUAUUGGGCGUAAAGAGCACGUAGGUGGGUUUACAAGUCAGAUGUGAAAGCCUUCUGUUCAACGGGAGAAUUGCAUCUGAAACUACUAAUCUUGAGUAUAGGAGGGGAGAAUGGAACUUCUGGUGGAGCGGUGAAAUGCGUAGAUAUCAGAAGGAAUGCCGGCGGCGAAAGCGAUUCUCUGGCCUAUUACUGACACUCAGUGUGCGAAAGCUAGGGGAGCAAACGGGAUUAG